GGGUAUGUUAAUAGCAUAUUCAUUUGACGUUUAGCUGCAGAAGAAGCACCGGCUAACUCCGUGCCAGCAGCCGCGGUAAUACGGAGGGUGCGAGCGUUAAUCGGAAUUACUGGGCGUAAAGCGCAUGCAGGUGGUUUGUUAAGUCAGAUGUGAAAGCCCGGGGCUCAACCUCGGAAUUGCAUUUAGAAACUGGCAAACUAGAGUACUGUAGAGGGGGUAGAAUUUCAGGUGUAGCGGUGAAAUAGCGUAGAGAUCUGAAGGAAUACCGGUGGCGAAGGCGGCCCCCUGGACAGAUACUGACACUCAGAUGCGAAAGCGUGGGGAGCAAACAGGAUUAGAUACCCUGGUAG
rnacentral:rRNA from 1 species